GCGGGCGAAGUGUCAACGGCUGCACGAGAGCUUCCCAAGCUCUAAGAACGGGUUCGAGCCCCGUCGCCCGCU
rnacentral:tRNA from 1 species